rnacentral:rRNA from 1 species
GACGAACGCUGGCGGCGUGCUUAACACAUGCAAGUCGAGCGGUAAGGCCCUUUCGGGGGUACACGAGCGGCGAACGGGUGAGUAACACGUGGGUGACCUGCCCUCAGCUCUGGGAUAAGCCUGGGAAACCGGGUCUAAUACCGGAUAUGACUCCAUGACGCAUGUUGUGGGGUGGAAAGCCUUGUGCGGCUGAGGAUGGGCCCGCGGCCUAUCAGCUUGUUGGUGGGGUGAUGGCCUACCAAGGCGACGACGGGUAGCCGGCCUGAGAGGGCGACCGGCCACACUGGGACUGAGACACGGCCCAGACUCCUACGGGAGGCAGCAGUGGGGAAUCUUGCGCAAUGGGCGAAAGCCUGACGCAGCGACGCCGCGUGAGGGAUGACGGCCUCGGUGUAAC